rnacentral:ncRNA from 2 species
CCAGAGCACUCUGAAGAGCUGCCGUGGACUAGUCCCCACGGCACACCGCAGGAGCAAGCCGUUGGCCCACAAGGCUGGCGGUGAAUCUCUCAGGUCUCAAACAGAGGGGGUCGU